GAGGGUGUAGCUCAGUGGAAGAGCACGUGCCUAGCAUGCACAAGGUCCUGGUCCUGGGUUCAAUCCCUAGUACCUCCA
rnacentral:tRNA from 1 species